rnacentral:lncRNA from 1 species
UGCUCUGAGGAUUGUGGCCCCAGGCAAGGGCAUUCUGGCUGCAGAUGAGUCCGUGGGCAGCAUGGCCAAAAGGCUGAGCCAAAUUGGGGUAGAGAACACUGAGGAGAAUCGCCGACUGUACCGCCAGAGAUAUCUUCAUCCAGCACCAAGUCAUCUCGCAUCCCACAAUGCCUCACAUUGCUGCACUGGAGACCACAGGAUGGGAGGGUAGAGAGGCCCGUCCAUGUCUGAGGAUGGAGAAACUAUUUAGAAGUCAGAACAGAACCUUUCCCCUGUCUCCACCAGUCCUUACAGUGUCCCUUGAUGGUGUAGUUUGUCCUUGGGCUCUGCUUGCUGACCUUCUCUCUUGGGAUCGGGAUGUGAACCCUGGCCCAGACUCACGCUCUGAGUACAUAGUGAAUAAACGGGAGCAAAACACA